AUAGGCGGGGUUUAUGACUGCUUAUUUAUUUAUGUACGUAUGUGUGAUGUGGUUAGGAAACUAGCAACAUAUUAGAAAUGCAAGCAACGCCUCCCUAAUGAACAUGUUGCAAACCAUAAAACAGAUUUACAAAUAAUUUCAAGAAGUGAACAAGAAAAGUAAGGUGUGUGCACUGGCAAUUAUUUUUUUGUAGCUAGUGUACUUAAUGGUCGUGGUGUCGAGAUAAAGUAGCUGAAUGUUGUCUCGCGGCAAAGCGAGGAAAGAACGGUGCGUAGUUGCUAGUAAGCGAGCCAACAAAUCUAACGUUUGUUUCAAGGUGAGGUUCGAUGCUCCGGGCAAUCAGAUGCCCCCCCUGUAGUUAGACAAUGGCUCACUAGUUGGAUGGAUGUAUAACUUUCCUGUCUAUCCUCAAGCUAACGUUAUAGUUAGUUAGCUUCUGGUAGGAAGCACAAUACCAGAUAACGUUAGCUAACUAACCCAGUUUGUUGUAAUGUUAGCACUUAGCUAGACAAGUUAUUUAGAGGCGGAAUUGUCACUUUUAGAUAACGUUUGUUAGCUCGUUUUAGCAGUCAAUUAACCUGUGGUAAGUUAUCUUUGUAACGUUACAUGUUCACUGAGUAAUAGCUACUUGGCUAGUUGGCAUGUCGAUAUAACUAACUAGCGAACGUUAACUCAUGCAAUGUAAGUUAGCUACUGUGUAUUGUCAUGACUCCAUGAUGACAUGAUUCUUAUUUCAAACUUACCAAAAUGUUAGAUGCAUACUCUGGUCCAGAGUUUGUGGACUACGAUGAUAUCAGACACGGGGCAAAAUUUGUAUGUAAAAAUGAUGAUUGUUGACGUGUCAUUAAAUAUGCAUGUAAGACCGAAGGGAAUACUUACAGUAUACAUUUUGAAAAUUGACUCUACUAGUGUUAUCAUGUAACGUUUGCAAUACGUCAUUAGACAUGAAAUUAUUAACAACUUUUCUUCCUCAAGAUCCAUGUCAAAAACAGUUCCUUUGUAGCCCUGCAACCUCCAGAUGACAAAUAUGAGCGAUGGAAUAAAAUCCCUGUCAGUUUGAAAAAGACAGUGUCACAGUUGAUGCAUGUAUCUGCCUUUUGGUAUCACAUUCUGCUUUGUCGAGAGAAUCACAACACCUCAUGCUGGGCUGUGCAAGUGGGCUUCCUCGAUUCAAAGUAAGAAUUGUAUCAACAGUAUCUCGGACCUGCCUGGUGUGUUCCUUGUUCUUCAUGAUGCUCUCUACGCUUUUAACGGACCUCUGAGACUAUCACAGUGCAGGUGCAUUUAUACGGAGACUUGAUUACACACAGGUGGAUUGUAUUUAUCAUCAUUAGUCAUUUAGGUCAACAUUGGAUCAUUCAGAGAUCCUCACUGAACUUCUGGAGAGAGUUUGCUGCACUGAAAGUAAAGGGGCUGAAUAAUUUUGCACGCCCAAUUUUUCAGUUUUUGAUUUGUUAAAAAAGUUUGAAAUAUCCAAUAAAUGUCGUUCCACUUCA